rnacentral:rRNA from 1 species
AGUGAACGCUGGCGGUAGGCCUAACACAUGCAAGUCGAACGGCAGCACAGUAAGAGCUUGCUCUUACGGGUGGCGAGUGGCGGACGGGUGAGGAAUACAUCGGAAUCUACUUUUUCGUGGGGGAUAACGUAGGGAAACUUACGCUAAUACCGCAUACGACCUACGGGUGAAAGCAGGGGAUCUUCGGACCUUGCGCGAUUGAAUGAGCCGAUGUCGGAUUAGCUAGUUGGCGGGGUAAAGGCCCACCAAGGCGACGAUCCGUAGCUGGUCUGAGAGGAUGAUCAGCCACACUGGAACUGAGACACGGUCCAGACUCCGACGGGAGGCAGAAGUGGGGAAUAUUGACAAUGGGCGCAAGCCUGAUCCAGCCAUACCGCGUGGGUGAAGAAGGCCUUCGGGUUGUAAAGCCCUUUUGUUGGGAAAGAAAAGCAGCAGGUUAAUACCCCGCUGUUCUGACGGUACCCAAAGAAUAAGCACCGGCUAACUUCGUG